rnacentral:rRNA from 1 species
ACACAUGCAAGUCGUGGGGAAACGGCAUUAUGUGCUUGCACAUUCUGGACGUCGACCGGCGCACGGGUGAGUAUCGCGUAUCCAACCUGCCCCUUACUUGGGGAUACCCCGUUGAAAGACGGCCUAAUACCCGAUGUGUUUCAUUGACGGCAUCCGAUAUGAAACAAAGGUUUUUCCGGUAAGGGAUGGGGAUGCGUCUGAUUAGCUUGUUGGCGGGGCAACGGCCCACCAAGGCGACGAUCAGUAGGGGUUCUGAGAGGAAGGUCCCCCACAUUGGAACUGAGACACGGUCCAAACUCCUACGGGAGGCAGCAGUGAGGAAUAUUGGUCAAUGGACGCAAGUCUGAACCAGCCAAGUAGCGUGCAGGAUGACGGCCCUAUGGGUUGUAAACUGCUUUUAUGUGGGAAUAAAUUGGCGCACGUGUGCGCCAUUGCAUGUACCUCAUGAAUAAGGACCGGCUAAUUCCGUGCCAGCAGCCGCGGUAAUACGGAAGGUCCGGGCGUUAUCCGGAUUUAUUGGGUUUAAAGGGAGUGUAGGCGGUCUGUUAAGCGUGUUGUGAAAUUUAGGUGCUCAACAUUUAACUUGCAGCGCGAACUGUCAGACUUGAGUACACGCAGCGCAGGCGGAAUUCAUGGUGUAGCGGUGAAAUGCUUAGAUAUCAUGAGGAAUUCCGAUCGCGAAGGCAGCCUGCGGGAGUGUUACUGACGCUUAAGCUCGAAGGUGCGGGUAUCGAACAGGAUUAGAUACCCUGGUAGUCCGCACAGUAAACGAUGGAUGCCCGCCGUUGGCGCCCUGCGCCUGCGGCCAAGCGAAAGCAUUAAGCAUCCCACCUGGGGAGUACGCCGGCAACGGUGAAACUCAAAGGA